ACCAAUCUAAAUCUUCCGUUCCAAUGCUCUCGAUGAUAGAUUGAUCUUCCCUCUUCGAAAAUAUGUUCAUGUGUUUCCAUUACCGUUUCCUGAUCAUGUAGAUCACUCGGAGUGACCUGAAGCUGAUACUGUUAUACAGAGGCUGGUGUGAUCUAGCCGUCACUGCCGUCUUUCGUCACCUGCCAAGAAUCAGAAGUCUCCUACAAUGAUCAGGGCAGAAUCAAAGGAGGAGUCUAGAGAUCGCAUCCAUCGAGACGAGAACCAAAGACAGAGGUAGGUAAUCGGUUCGUAGAUUCGAUUCUUAAUUUGUGAUUUCUGUUUUAAUGCAAAGGGCGUUGAUAAUAUCAUUGCUUUACGCCUUAAGCCAUUUACCGGUAAGUAUGACUGUUUUUAUACCCUGUACAGCUG
rnacentral:lncRNA from 1 species